rnacentral:rRNA from 1 species
GGCCAGACUCCUACGGGAGGCAGCAGUGAGGAAUAUUGGUCAAUGGGCGCAAGCCUGAACCAGCCAAGUCGCGUGAGGGAUGACGGUCCUAUGGAUUGUAAACCUCUUUUGUCGGGGAGCAAGGCCCGCCACGUGUGGCGGGAAGGAGAGUACCCGAAGAAAAAGCAUCGGCUAACUCCGUGCCAGCAGCCGCGGUAAUACGGAGGAUGCGAGCGUUAUCCGGAUUUAUUGGGUUUAAAGGGUGCGCAGGCGGAGGUGCAAGUCAGCGGUCAAAUUGCGGGGCUCAACCCCGUACUGCCGUUGAAACUGGCAGUCUCGAGUUGGAGAGAAGUAUGCGGAAUGCGCGGUGUAGCGGUGAAAUGCAUAGAUAUCGCGCAGAACUCCGAUUGCGAAGGCAGCAUGCCGGCUCCACACUGACGCUGAGGCACGAAAGCGUGGGUAUCGAACAGGAUUAGAUACCCCGGUACUC